UGUCCAGCAACUCCUAUUCCUACCUCCUCGCAAUACUGGCCGGGGUACGAGCGAUCUUCGGGAAGAUCGGGUAACUAACCCCGUUGGGAACAUUGGCCGUAUGCUGACAGGGAAGG
rnacentral:ribozyme from 1 species